CUUUAUUCGCAUUCCACAUUAUCCACACUCGCAACGAAUAAAAUAAUCGCGUGUACUUAACCUAAAAAAAUUAUUCUUGUUUUGGUUUUGGUGGUGAAUGGUGUUUGGCUGUGGCUCCUUGUCAAACUUCAUUCGCGACGAAUUAAAAACUCUCAUGUGAAAGAAACGUCAAAAUCGACGAAUAUUCGUUCAUUUGUUGGUCGUGCUCAUGUGAAUAGUGCUUAAAACCAAAUCUAAAAUUCUCACCAUAGCAAUUUAAUACAAAAAAAACAUAAAAAUUGCAAAUACAACAAUGUAAACAAAUGGGUGUUGGAGGGUAAAACGUACGAAAGAUACCGGUCUUUAUAACGAAUGAACGAAUGAAAUGUGUUGAGAAACUUACAUGUACAUAUGUAUGUACCUACUUACAAAAACCCUUAUACAAAUUUUGACAAUCACCCCUAUUACCAAUGUCGUAAACGACAGCAAAAUAUAUGACACGACACAAUCUGCAUUCAAUAAGUCUUUUUCAACUUUUGUCACUCGUUUUGUUGUCGUGUGUAAACGUCAAGUGUGUUGAACGCUUUCAUUCAGCAUUCUGUAAGACAAAAGGAAACAACGACAAUGGAAAAAAAUGACGGUAUCUCUAGUUUGAAAAUCACGACGAAGAAAUAGAAGUUCGAAAAACUCUGAAAUUAACAAAUCAGAAUCGGAACCAGGCCCUCGUCGAGCUGAUGGAUAGCAACGAGCAGUUGGCUAGGGAAUUUUUAAAGGGAAUUAACAAAACUGACAUACAAAAUAGCUGAGCAGCUGAACAGCAGGGGUUCUCCAGUAAGAGAUGGAAAUGGUGGGCAAAAGGUUUGGAAGACUUUAAGUUCAAAGUGAAGAAGAAAAUAAAAAACAAUUCAAAAGAAAUAAAAGCAACUGGAGAAGGUCCAAACCAAUUGCAAAUUUUAUCUCCGUUGGAAGAUGCUGUAGCAAAUUUGCUUAAAUACAAACAGUGGUAAACCCAAACGGAAAUCCAAUUGGUGCAUCCCAGCCCAAUUUACUUCCAAAUACUUUGACGACUACAUGCGGACAUACAUCAGCACGAACUCGGGCUACAGAUGCAGACGCAAAACUUCGCACUUCACCUUCUUCAUCAUCAUCACUAUCGCCACUCGUGUUAUAAUACAUUUCUAAACUUAUCAUUUUAAUUACUUAUUUGAUUUUUUAUUUAGACUUUAAUUUCAUUUUGACAGAUGUUUGUUACUUUUACAUCGUUUAAAAAUCUGCUACAAACUCGUCGCGUCGAUUAACUUAUGGAAUGCCACUUAAAAAACCACACGACAGAGAAAACGAGAGUCGUCGAAAAAAACGAGACGACAUCGGUAAUAGCCAUGAAUAUCAUUUUUAAUUUGGUUCCAAGUUCAUCAGAAAUCCUUUGUCUAAUUAGUUAUCUUGUAUACAUUUGUUAAAUUGUUUUUAAUUAACAUUUGCGGAUAUCACAAAUAUGAGAGUUUUUUUUACAUCGCCUUUUGUAUACAAAACUUCUAACGAGUCUAUGUCCAAUGUAAAAAUUAACAGCGCCAUGAUAGUGCUGAAGAUCUUAUAUACAAAGAUGACAUUGUAUUCGAGUUAUUAAAUGAAAAUGACAAUAA